UUAUACAAAUUUGCCACCAAUCACAUUCAGAUACAAAGAAUAAAUAGGACAAAAGUUUAUAGCAUGUGGCUCUAUCGUAUACCAGCGAAAUUUUAAUUCUCUAUUAUAUUUUCUACCUUUAAACUUUAUAAGUACUAUACCGUGGAUGCACAUAAUAUGUACAGAUAUAUAAAAUAUUAGAAAUAUAAUAUUUAGUUGACGAAACAAAUCCUUAUUUAACUUCCCAGGUUAAAAAUAUGAAUUUCCAUAAACAUCCGUAAUCUACUGUAAAUUUUAUCAACCACUUUAUCAUUUUUAUAAUAUACCAAUUUAACAUCGAUUUAGAGUACUUGAAAUUUGUUGUUAUUGGAACGACAUUUUUCCAUCGACGACUGUCGUGUAUGACGCAUAAAUGUGCAAAGAAUAAAUGGGACAAGAGUUUAUAGUAUAUGGGGUUCUGCCGUACCCCCUUGGCAGUGGCUCGAGUUAAUUCGAACUUCCUCUCGUUGGAUGAGAUUCAUUCUCCGAGUAUCCGGCGUAGGCCUACGCACAGCAUUCUACCCAAUUUAAUAAACUCUUCUAAAUUACUCGGCCGGGGCCAUUCCCUCGUUCAAUCAUGAAUUUCCAUGGAAAUUCAGGGAAAAUUCACUAAAUUUCACUCAGACGCUUGCCAAAUCCAAUCUCAAGUCGAAAGUCCGAUAUAAUAUUUCAAAUUCAAAACUACUCUGUAUGUUUGUUACUAUUAAAUCUUAUGUUCCGAAUGUUUACAUCGUAAUACAUUUAAUUUAGAAUUCCGUUAAUAAAUUGAGAGAUUCGGAAGUUCUAUUUUGCUCUAGGUUGAAUAAAAUAUAUUUUCUCUUGCGAGAAGCAGUACGGUAUCAUUUUAGAGUCAUAUGUGGCACACGUGAUUUCAGGAAACACCUGUGCACGUGUGUCUUCUGUACGCUACGAAGUGUAUUUUCGAUGGCACGCUCAUUCCACCUUAAAUCGUUAUACAGGCAUUGAUGAGCAACGAAACUGUGUAUAAUUGUGCUUCUGUAUUAAAGAAACUUAGGAAGAAUAAACUAAAACGAAGUGCCAUAAACCAAAACAGAGAUCUCUGAUCGUAAAUUUGAAGACGCACGAAGAAUAGCCACUAAACCAUGUUUUAUUUAAAUCUCACGGGACACGAGGCUAGUCUAAUCGAUGAACAAUGGAUCGGCAUCGACGAAAGAAAAGACUAACAGGGAUUGUAUACUAAUAAAAGGUGCGUUACACGCUGCGUAAGUUGCUUUAAAUCAGUAAAAUGGACCCGCAUGAGAAAAUUGUGCGUGAAUCUAUCCAGGCAGAGACGACGAUUAUCACGAAAUGACCAAACUAUUCCCAAGUGCAAGCUGACGGUUGUACAGGAGCACAUUCUGCGGCAUAGGGGCACACCGCGUGCACACAUUAAUCAACAAGCUGUCCUUUUCCUCCAUUAAACUCUAUACGACCAUCGUCAUUCUUCGUCAAUUUGCACGACUGGACCUACUCACGGUCCUUCGAUCAAUUAGUAAUUGCUCUACUAACGAUACGAUUUCCAAACCUUGAUAUUUGUAUAGAUAUAGAUAGUACCAACAAUGAAAACAACCGAAAAUGUUGGUUACCGAUGAUUCACACUAUGACCAACUAUUUGAACUGAUAAAUCUAUUCGAAGUUGUCUUCAUACAUACUUUGCAUAAGCGAUAAUAUUUAAAGUAAUGCUGUGAGAACGACGCAUGUAUAUACAAUUUACACAGCGUUGUCGCAUAUAUGUAUUUUAACUUUGCUGCAUUUUUGAGUCAACGAAUCGUAUUUUUCUAUUACUAGAAUAUUUCUUAAAAAAGGAGCUAUAUAUAAAAAUAAUUGCUUCCAACGUGACCGCUUUAAAAUACUCAUAUAAAAGAAAACCGCUACUGUCACGUAUGAUUUCCCGUUUCAAUUGUAUACUAAUAGUUUUCUUAAAGCAUUAAAAAUUCCUUUCUCUAAAGUGAAAUUGGAAAAUCAAAAUUAAAGGUAUAGGCAAAGACCAAAAUUAAGUGAGGUUAAAAAGUAAAAAGCUCGAGAAUCGCAGCAGGGUUGAGUUAAAGAGUUUGAAAUAAAAAUAUGAUGAUUCUUUCAGGUAAGAGUGGUUAAGGACGAAGAUAUUUCGACUUGUGACCGUAACAACGGGCGGGAAAAGAACACACUCGUUGUCAUGUUCGCAAAUUAAGCUAUCUUCCCGACAGAUGCCUCGAAACGCACGAAGUUGCAUUUAUAUAUGUAUCGAGAUGAUCUAUUAUAUGUAUGAUUCUCUUUAUAAAAAGCAGACGAGUUCCUUCAAUUUGGAGGUAAACUCGAAAGAAAAUUUAUGCAUAACGAGAUAGGACAAAUCGUCUGAGUAAUGACCAUGGAAAAUUCGAACUUUAAUCCCAUUUAGACGUAUAUAUUUGGGUCUGCAUUUCGUCUAACGCAGUCAGCGGGCAAUUGUCGAGGACACAAGAGCUAGAGAGAGGCUACCACGUUACCUUAAUGUGCUGAUCUGUCUGUUAAGUAGUAGUGCCGUAGAUGAUGAUUUAGAAAUUCACCUCAGCACGAUUACUUUUCACACAGAAAUGCCAUAAUUUCGAUGGGUACAUACAUCGUAUAAUCGUGAUUAAGUUCAAUUUAUUCGAUAUUUCAAAAAUAAUAGCAGUAAAUUAAUGUUGAAUCUACUUACGAAUUGUUUAAAAAUGUUCUACCAUCUUGAAUAUUUCGUUAUGGUAGUCCUGGAAAUUUCAAAUAUAUUUCACUCUGCUUGUAAUUCACGGUAAGUUUCUAAACGCGUCACAAUCGUUAAAUGAAUUGUUAUUACGAUAUUAAACGACUCAUUCUAUAUAUAAAGCCACUUAUUCCACUUAUAAAAUUAAAAUAUAUCCGGAAAACGAAUAAUCGUAGCGCGGGAAAUCUCACCACCAAAAAUAUACUUACUAAACCGGAAGGGAGCCUCUCGACCAAUCAACGUCUCGGACGCUUCAUCACCCGUGCCCGCGAUUCUCAACUGCCACCACGAAAGUCAUACCAAAAUUUAUAAAGAAAUUUAUAUUCGUUUUACUUUAUAAAUGAAUAAAAAAUUAUAAAUUAA